rfam:Oryza brachyantha chromosome 4, whole genome shotgun sequence.
ACGACCUUACUUGAACAGGAUCUGUUCUAUAGGCUCGUACCGUUGCAUCCUGACUAAUAAGGAGGCAAGCACUCAAGCUUGGUUGAUGACGCUGGACCUGUUGGCCAGAGCGUGAUCAACGGCCCGGAUCAUGUCCCAGCGACUCGAUCCGCGGCUGUAGAGGAUCGUUCCUGUCGGGCAGUUAUGCUUGGCUGGGAUGGCUCUCAGGUUGUGUCUGACAGGCU